GUCUGGCCUGCCCACUGAGGUAACUUAAAGGGCCGCGGUAAUUUGACCGUGCGAAGGUAGCAUAAUCAGUAGUCUUUUAAUUGGAGGCUGGAAUGAAUGGUCGGACAGAGAGUUAACUGUCUUGUAAUCAAAGAUUUGAAUUUUACUUUUAAGUGAAAAGGCUUAAAUAAAUUAGGGGGACGAUAAGACCCUAUAAAACUUAACAAAAUCUAGCUGUAGUUUUUAAAUUGAAGUAUAAAAUUAAUUAUUGCUUUUUUGUUAUAUUGGGGCGAUAAAGAUAUAAAUAUAAUAACUGUCAAGUUAAUUAAAUAGUAUUAAUUAGUUUAAUUGAUCCUUUAUUAGAGAUUAUAAGAUUAAGUUACUUUAGGGAUAACAGCGUAAUUUUCUUUGAGAGUUCAUAUCGACAAGAGUAGUUGCGACCUCGAUGUUGAAUUAAGAUUUCUUCUGGGUGUAGCAGUUUAGAGGGUAGGUCUGUUCGACCUU
rnacentral:rRNA from 1 species